ACUUAUUAUUAAGGUAGUAAAACAAAAAUAAACCACUUAAAUUUGGCGGUUAUUAAAACUUAGAGAAACUCGUUACAUAAUCGACAACACCCGUUUAAUUUAACUUCUACUGAAAAUUUAUAUACCUCCGUUAAAGAAAAACCAUAAACAAAAAAUCAAAAAGAACAAACCUAAAAAAAUCAGGUCAAGGUGUAAUCAACGUAAAAGACGUAAUAAGUCACUUAUUAUAAAAAAUAAUGGACAUUUGUUUCAAAACCCAAAUCAAAACAGAAUCUAAAAGAAUAGAUACCAUAAAAACUCAUCUAGAAAAAUUAAAUAAUAAUGC
rnacentral:rRNA from 1 species